rnacentral:tRNA from 1 species
GGCAGUGUGGCCGAGUGGUCUAAGGCGUCAGACUUGAAAUCUGAUCCCUGCGGGGUCGCCGGUUCGAAUCCGGUCGCUGUCG